rnacentral:lncRNA from 12 species
AUGGGACAAGACUCGUGGCGUUCUGGGGGACAGGCGAAGGAGGUCCUGGGACACUGGCAGGACACCAGCCACUGCCUUGGGCCUGCGCUGGGACGCUCGGGGUGGUCACCGGAGACCAACGUGGGGCCGAGUGGUAAAUAUUCGAGCGAACUCACCGAAAAUCUUCUCCAGCAGACGGGCAUCCACAUGAAGCACGGAUGGCUUGAGAAAGUGCUUAAACCUACACCAGUACCGUUGAGUGUGGACAAGGAGCCGUGCGAUCGGUGCAGGGUCUUCAUCACGAAGGGCGCCAUUGCCGUACCCUGGACGGAAUCCGCAGGAAGAGACACCCCACGUGGCCGGGAGGCGGGACGAAACUGCUCGCCGUCAGCCCACCGGCCUGAUUGGUCCCUUCUCAGGCCCCGCCCCCUCCAGGAGCCCUUGCUCAUUGGCUCCCUCAAAUCCGGGCAGGCCGGCGGGGUCCCAGCAGCGCCUAGCGCCAACCUCGGGCGGGCGGCUUGCUGUUGGCGCGGUCUAGGAGGGAGGAGCCCGGAUUGAGCGCGGGCCCUCGAAGAGUUCCCUCGUUUCCCUGGUAAUAAGUGCUACAAAACAGUGGGAUGAUAGAAGGCACGUUGCUCACCAACAUUAGGUGGAGUUCAGAGAGAUUCAUGUUCCCCAGCACUGGACGUACCUGUGUGAGGAUCGCUUCUGUAGUGCCAACCCGCUCGUGUGACUGAAAUUGUGGCCUCAGUACCUUAUAACAUCCCCGUGAGGAAGAUACAGUUGUUUUUUUCUUCCAUUUUUUACAUAGGAAGUGUAAGUGAUGGGACUGGGACAAAAAUGCAUACAUUAUAUAGUGACCGUAGAUUCCAAACAGAAUUUAGACUCCUUUAUCCUUCAUCAGGUUGCUAAUCCUUGAGGAAAGGACAACUUAAAAACCGUGGUUCUGACUGAACAGGGCCCAUCUCCCUCCCAGGUACUUUGAAGAGAAUUCUGUUUUAUUCAGAAGUUAUUUAUUUGGUUGGAUUUCAUUUCUAACAAUACAGAUAUCGAAUUAUUACGUCAUACGCCUGAAACUAAUAUGUUGAACAUCAAUUACAUCUCAAUAUAAAAUAACAGUCCCAGAGGCGACUGGGUGGCUUGUAGGUAGGUUAAGUGUCUGCCUUUGGCUCAGGACGUGAUCCCGCAGUCCUGGGAUCAGGAGCACGGUGCCUGCAUCUGGCUCUGCUCUCAGCCGGGAGCCUGCUUCUCCCUCUGCCCCUCCCCACUCAUGCUCUCUCUCAAAUAAAUAAAUAAAACUUUUUCA